rnacentral:rRNA from 1 species
CGAACGGGGAGAUUCAUCGUCAGCGGACGCCGGCUUCGCGUCGGUCGGCGAUGUCCCGCGGGGGCCCUCGCGGCUCUCAGCGCGGGCACGCUGCCGUGCGCCGAUGUAUCCGGCUUCGCCGUCGUGCACUUCUCCCCUGGUAGAACGUCGCGACCCGCUGGGUGUCGGUCUACGGCCCGGGUGCGGUGUCUGACGCGCCGCCGGUAAAACGGCGCGCGUCAAACCCCCGGUCGCCCGGCCGGCUGCCCGGCGGUACGCGCAAGGUAUCAGGCCGCACGCCCCGCGCGCAUUGUUGUGUGUGGGGAAAUGGUGCGUCGAGGCCGUCGCAAGCGCGCGCCACGGUACACGGAGGUACGGACCUAGCGCCGUCACCGGUCCUGGCCCGCUGUUGGUCGUACGGUUAACCUUCGACAGGCCUACGAACGUCACGGCGCGUCGCGCGCGGGGGUCUCCGAUUUCCGCGCGCUCGCGUCGGC